CGUGGCUGGAGAACAUGCCCUGGCGGAUCUGGAACCUCGCCAGGAAGAAGAAGCAGACAAAUGUAUCAAUCUGCUUAACUGUGUAUGAUUCCUGCAUUUCCCAGUUGCAAAUCCUAAUCAAGGAGAAUGAGUAAUACAAGCUCAGUAGCUCCAUGCAAAAGAAGGUUGAAAGGAGAAGGAGAGUUUGUGACUGCUAUAGAAGGACUGAAGGAGGUCCAUGUUGAAGAAGAUCGACAGAAGCAGUAGAGCUGUCAUUGCCAUUGUAUUUGUGUUGUAUGAUGUAUCCACGUUUACCCACAAAAAAAUGUAUUCACGUUGUAAUACUUUGAUUGCCAUUCUGGCUACUAUUUCAAUCAGUGUAUUUUGCUAGUGCUGAUUUAGAUAUUGGUUACUUAUUUACUAUGAAACAAAAUCUAAAGAACUUGACCCUGACAACCGG